UACCAGCUCUCCGAGUGGUGUGGAUGUUUAUUGGGCCUAAAGCAUCCGUAGCUGGCUGGGCAAGUCCCCUGUUAAAUCCACCGAUUUAAUCGUUGGUGUGCGGGGGAUACUGUUCGGCUAGGGGACGGGAGAGGCCGACGGUAUUUUCGGGGUAGGGGUAAAAUCCUAUAAUCCCGGGAAGACCACUAGUGGCGAAGGCUGUCGGCUAGAACGCGCCCGACGGUGAGGGAUGAAAGCUGGGGGAGCGAACCGGAUUAGAUACCCGGGUAGUCCCAGCUGUAAACGAUGCAGGCUAGGUGUUUGGGCGGCCACGUGCCGCUCUAGUGCCGCAGAGAAGUCGUUAAGCCUGCCGCCUGGGGAGUACGGCCACAAGGCUGAAACUUAAAGGAAUUGGCGGGGGAGCACCACAAGGGGUGAAGCUUGCGGUUU
rnacentral:rRNA from 1 species